rnacentral:rRNA from 1 species
GACAGAGGUGCCGAGCGUUAGGCGGAAUCACUGGGCUUAAAGCGUGUGUAGGCGGAUCUGUAAGUACCUUGUGAAAUCCCCACGGCUCAACCGUGGAACUGCUUGGUAUACUGCGGGUCUUGAGCCACCUAGGGGCAAGUGGAACAAGCGGUGGAGCGGUGAAAUGCGUAGAUAUCGCUUGGAACGCCAAUGGUGAAAACAGGUCGCUGGGGAGUGCGCCGACGCUGAGACACGAAAGCCAGGGGAGCAAACGGG